rnacentral:lncRNA from 1 species
UUGUUUGGUCUGCUCAUGAGUGCUGUUGGCACAAAGAAUUUAUAAGUUUAAUACCAUGAAGAGCAGUUUAAACUUCCUUACUAUAAUAGAAUCAUCAUAUUUCAAAAUGGGUCUAAGGCUUUUCAGAUUACUAAAAUUGUUGGAUAGUCAUAUAUUUCAUUAUAUAAUGUCAGCCAUCACUCACAUUUAAAGUUUUUCUCUUCUCUCUCAGAUGGUGAUCAUCAGAUCAGAUCACUGGAAAUGAUUCAAAAGACUGAGAUGGCAGGAGAGAGGAGUUAUUGAUGUAACUGUCUAAUGAGGAGUUAUCCAAGAGUUAUUCUUGGAAAUGGUUAUAUUUUUGCAUUGAUCAAAUAAAGUAGUUUUAAAUGCAAGGCAUUUUUUUAAUGCAAAUGUUACUUAAUCUUCAGAAGCAUAAUAGUAGUACUCAGGAUAGUCAGAUUCAAUGAUAGUAGCUUCUAUACCUUCUUCUCCUGUCAGAAUAAAAGAUAUCACAUAAAUUCCUUCUAACUAUUGGUGCAUAUUUUAUGAUUGUCAGAAAUAAUUACUAAUCCAAUUCAAAGCACCAUCAACAUAUCAGUUUUUGAUCCAUAGGAUUAAGAUUUUGAUGAAUAGAUGAAGCAUUUUGAUAUAUAACAGAUGUCUAUGUAAACAAUAUAGAGAACAAAAAUCAAAGCCAAAUAUUUCAUGUCUAAGCUUUCUAUUGAUGUAUUUAGCUAAUGCAACCAGUUAUGCUCAUCAAAAGAUCCAACUGAGCUUUCCUUCAGUUAAAUGAUUUCAUUUUGUGUCUAUUCAACAGCAAUUGAAAGAAAACUAUAAUCAUUAUAUGAUCUGCACUAAGGCAUUUUUAAUAAAAGAGAUAGAAACAUACUUGGUAGUUUAACUCUCUGAAGAAUGAAAGAUGAAAUGAGGCAAGCAUGAGAGAAGAGAAAAAGGUUAUGUUAGAAGUAUGGCAGGUCACUAGCAGAAGAGAGAUGGUAUUUUUCAGUUGUCAUUUACAGCACAUAGAGUACAUGCUAGAUAAAUAUUGCCCAUCCACAGGUGAAGCUAAGGUAAUGCUGGAACAUUUCCAUAUUUCUGAACUUAAGGAGAUAAAAGUCAACAGUUUUAUAGGCACAGAGCAUAAAGUGCUCCAAACACAUCCUACAGAAACUCAACAUAGAAAACUAAUUAACUAACUAAUGAGAAAUUUUAUAAAGAAACCAUAGAUAUUUUCAUUAUAAUUAUCAUCAAAAUAGAAUAAGUAGUUUUUAAGAAUCAUUGGCCAUGUUCUAAUAGUUUCUGAUAAUCAUUUUGUUAUAUAUUUGAUUCAACUUCUGGCGAGGUCAAUGUUCAUCUUCAUCUAUAUAUCAACCAAAUGAAAUGUUUCCAUUGCAGCAAACCAUACUGUAUUAAGAAUUGCACUUAAAUUAAUCAGAAUUGUUCUAGGUGAUCAAUAAGGAUGUCUGGUUUAAUAAUAAUAGAUUAUUAUUUAUAUUGUAUUUACAGUAUUUGCUAUAAAAAAUAAACAAAC